UCUAACUAGCCUCCAGCUGCCA
rnacentral:miRNA from 1 species